CAUAGUAAAACCAGAAACCUAUCCCAGAACCAGGCUUUUUUUUUUUUUUUUUGCAUAUUUGGGAUGCAAAACUCCAUUGCUUCAAAUACCAAAAGUAGUUUCAAUGCCUUCCUGAAAAGUCUUAAGUGGAAGGAGAAAUGAUGAAACUAAAGGCCAGGUAGCAUUAAGAGAACAUCAAAUUUGAAAAUUAAAUGUCAGUAAGCCUCUUAAAUAUUGGGACAAGUAGCUAAGGUAGCAUGGAGGAAGAAGAAGGAUCUUUGUAUUUUAAUAAACUCUGAUCCAAAAUCUGCACCACCUCAGUGGGGCAUUUUGGUUAGUCAUUUCGCUGCUCCUCAGUUACUUCUUCUGUAAAAUGAGGAAAAUUUGGGAUUUUUUUUAUUUUUUAAGAUUUAUGUCAAAGAUAAAUAAUACAUAAUAUAUAUAAAGUGCCAGAAUGUCUAACUCUGGGAGAAAUGUAAAGAUUCAACAGAGAAAUCAAAACAGAAUUCAGAUGGCAUCAGACCAUCCCCAGUGUCCCUGAGGACAUUGUUCCCACUGCAACAUGUGUUUUUAUGCUGCUAACUAGACUGCCAUGGAUUCGUUAGUAACUUUUGAAACUUGGUCACCAAGGACUAUUUUGUUAUUCACUCAGAUGUUCCCUGUGCACUGGUAACAAACUAAACAUAUAAAAGAAAUGUUGCCAUUAUAGAAUUUGCAGGGAAGCCUGCCUCCCUGACCAGAUCAGAUGUGCCUCUCUGACAAAACUAGAGAGAAACUUCCUUACCUCUGCAUUUUUUUUCUUCUUUCAAACAAACAGAGCAACGGUGAAAUCCAGUAUUGGUGCCAGUUUAGACUUGGUGAGAGAAGCAGAGAUUGUACCCAGGCUCCUUAUAUCAGUCAUGGACGUCUAAUGAAGUCCACGGGCAUCCUCUGUCCCAAAUGAAGACUGAAUGAGUUUUGUUCCAAACAUACAGAGGGUCAAAGUUUCUCAAAUAUAUUCACUAAAGAGGAGUCAAUGAAGGAAUAAACUGACUGUCACUCAUAUAACUCCCGAAGUG
rnacentral:lncRNA from 12 species